rnacentral:rRNA from 2 species
CACCGCGGUUAUACGAGAGACCCAAGUUGAUAGACUUCGGCGUAAAGCGUGGUUAUAGACAAACUAAUACUAAGACCGAAUACUUUUAGUACUGUUAUACGUAUUCAAAAGUUAGAAGCUCAACUACGAAGGUCGUCUUAACUAGACUUUGAAGCCACGAAAGCUACGAAA